GACAGUACUCCCUUCAGACAG
rnacentral:miRNA from 1 species